UUCCGGUUGUUGCCAUGGCGAUCAGUCGUGCUAAGAAGCUAAAUGUGCUAAUGGACUGCCUGAUCUGAAAUGAAACGUGUUCUUUUGCCUAAAACACAACCAACUGUUAAUGAUGAUCGUGAGUCGACGGUGUUUGGACAGAAUAUUCUCAGUUGUUCUUCUGGCUGUGGUUCUCUUAUCUUGGGGUUUUGUCAUCUACAGCGCACGAGCUGCUGCUCAAUGGGAGCUGGAGAAGAGAUUCCAGAUUCAUUCAUAAAAUCCCGAACGAAAUGACUGCUGCUGUGACAUGUGUCCGGUUCAGUUCCUCUUACAGAAUUCACAGGACUUUUGACAGGAUUUGCAUUCGGAGAGUAAAAGAUCCUCGGGAAAUAAAGGAGAGAUGUGAAUUAACACCCUAAACAAAUCACACCAUCAACUAAAUGUUUAUCAUUUGUAUAAUAAAGAGUUUGAUGUGA